UACGUAGGUGGCAAGCGUUGUCCGGAAUUAUUGGGCGUAAAGCGCGCGCAGGCGGCGAUCUACGUCUGGGGUGAAAGCCCGGGGCUCAACCUCGGGACUGCCUUGGAUACGGGAUCGCUUGAGAAUCGGAGAGGCAAGGGGAAUUCCACGUGUAGCGGUGAAAUGCGUAGAGAUGUGGAGGAACACCAAUUGCGAAGGCAGCUGGCUACACAUAUAUUGACACUGAGGCACGAAAGCGUGGGGAUCAAACAGG
rnacentral:rRNA from 1 species